CUACUCUUUAUCUGUGUAGUGAGUUGGAUUCGUCCCGUUCUUUUCUCACGUCACGGUACUCAUUUAACUCCACCUGAUCAACAAUUACUUAAUUAGUGGGCACUGCUUGGAUGUGGCUAUAAAGGCCUGCGAGUUUGCUGUGGUGUCUGAGCUUGUGAACCGCUACCUCUCCUGUGUGGUUUCCUCGUUCUCCUGCGGUGUCCGUUAACUGAAGGAAAUUGCACCACUUCAUCAGGUUGUGGGCAUUGCAGAGGCCUAGUUGAGGAUGCACUUCUUGGUAAGCUGAUUUGCUGUCUGAAGUGUAGUAUUGUGUCUGCUUGAGCAUACUUGAGUCCUGAGUUUAAAUGGGUUUGUCCCAUAAUCCUCUGGACUACAUGUACCAUGGAAGUCUAGUCACCAACGUCUGAUCCGAUGUUGUGCUCAAGAUUUGUUGGAAGUUCUGGUUUUGACUAAGUACCCCCCUUUUCCGCUCUCUUUAGGAUUGUGGUCUGGGAGUUGGUCAAUCUCCUGGAUGUGUGGUGGUGAGUGACUGCCUUUUAAUCUAGCCUGUGUUGCUGGUAUCUGAAAGGUUGAAUUGGGUUUUUACCCAUUA
rnacentral:lncRNA from 1 species